AUUGAACGCUGGCGGCAUGCCUUACACAUGCAAGUCGAACGGUAACAGGUCUUCGGAUGCUGACGAGUGGCGAACAGGUGAGUAAUACAUCGGAACGUGCCUAGUAGUGGGGGAUAACUACUCGAAAGAGUGGCUAAUACCGCAUGAGAUCUACGGAUGAAAGCAGGGGAUCGCAAGACCUUGUGCUACUAGAGCGGCCGAUGGCAGAUUAGGUAGUUGGUGGGAUAAAAGCUUACCAAGCCGACGAUCUGUAGCUGGUCUGAGAGGACGAUCAGCCACACUGGGAGUGGGACACGGCCCAGACUCCUACGUGAAGCAGCAGUGGGGAAUUUUGGACAAUGGGCGAAAGCCUGAUCCAGCAAUGCCGCGUGCAGGAUGAAGGCCUUCGGGUUGUAAACUGCUUUUGUACGGAACGAAAAGCCCCGGGUUAAUACCCUGGGGUCAUGACGGUACCGUAAGAAUAAGCACCGGCUAACUACGUGCCAGCCGCCGCAGUAA
rnacentral:rRNA from 1 species